CCUCUCCCUCCGCCGCCGCCGCUCCACCCUCACCUUCUCGCCCUCUCUUCUCCCCCUCUCUUCUCUCCCAAGGGAAUGGAAGGGAAGGGAAGGGAAGGCCCCAGAUCGAGCGGAGCGACGCCCGGAUCCACACCGGAACCGGCCCUUGCGCGCUGUCCUCCACCCAUGGAGGUCCGACCCGACCCGAGGCCCCACACCCGCCCAUGGAUGGAUGGCGACCACCUUCUCUCGGUCCGGUGGCCAGCCAAAGCUUGCUGAUGCGGCGGUGCUCCUCCACGCCGGCGACGGGCUGCAGCACGUAGACGCCAAAGCUACACGCAGGGCGGCUCCGAACCCUAACCGCAGCACUCGGUCACCUCCGGCACCAAGUUCAUCACCGCCAGCUUCACCACCUGCAGCAGCCUCAUCCGCAUCAGCUUCAGCUUCAGGGCAGGUGCAGAAUAGAGUCACCGCAGCGAUUCUUCUUGCACUCCGUGCCCUGCCCCUCCUGUCUUCUUCCACUCCGGCAUAGCUAGCUGGUGCAUUACGGAGCCACGCCACCUUGCAGUGAUUCUUCUUCCACUUCGACGGCUCCCCCUCUGGUCGCUCUUCUUCCGCUCGGGCAUAUCAUAGCUGCACUAUACUAGUCGCGGUCGCCGCUGCCAUAGUCGGAUUCGAGUCUUCUCGGCAGCUCUGCUGGGCUCCUCAUUUCAAGAAGUGUCAACCUCAGUAUGGGGGUUGAUCUGAUGCUUAUUAUUUUCCAGCCAAUUCUUUUCAACAGUGGUCUCUUUCGAUGUGAUGUUCCUGCUGGAUGCUCGGCUGUGUCUCCUUCAAGAACUUGGUUAUGUAACAAUUUGGUUUAAUCUGUUUUUAAAACCUGGCCAUGGUUGCAAGUUAAUUGUAACAUUUCUGCUUAGCUCGUUUGCUCCAAUCUUGCAUCAAGUAGUUAAUUUGGUUGGAUGGAUUUUGAACAGCUCGAACCCUGUAACUGUUGUGUACAUGGUUUCAAAUUAUAGGUUCUGUGAGCAGAAUAGAAAUGUUUGUUUUUGUGGGAUGUUGAAUCUACUGGAAUAUUAGUAGCUUCAAGAUAUUGAAUA